rnacentral:rRNA from 1 species
CUCAAAUUUCGUAGCGGGAGGCAGCAGUGGGGAAUAUUGGACAAUGGGGCGAACCCCUGAUCCAGCCAUGGCGGAGUGUGUGAAGAAGGCCUUUAUGGUUGUACAGCACUUUAAGCGAGGAGGAGGCUACUGAGACUAAUACUCUUGGAUAGUGGACGUUACUCGCAGAAUAAGCACCGGCUAACUCUGUGCCAGCAGCCGCGGUAAUACAGAGGGUGCGAGCGUUAAUCGGAUUUACUGAGCGUACAGCGUGCGUAGGCGGCUUUGUAAGUCGGAUGUGAAAUCCGCGAGCUUAACUUGGGAAUUGCAUUCGAUACUGGGAAGCUAGAGUAUGGGAGAGGAUGGUAGAAUUCCAGGUGUAGCGGUGAAAUGCGUAGAGAUCUGGAGGAAUACCGAUGGCGAAGGCAGCCAUCUGGCCUAAUACUGACGCUGAGGUACGAAAGCAUGAGGAGCAAACAGGAUUAGAUACCCUGGUAGUCCAUGCCGUAAACGAUGUCUAGUAGCCGUUGGCGCCUCUGAGGCUUUAGUGGCGCAGCUAACGCGAUAAGUAGACCGCCUGGGGAGUACGGUCGCAAGACUAAAACUCAAAUGAAUUGACGGGGGCCCGCACAAGCGGUGGAGCAUGUGGUUUAAUUCGAUGCAACGCGAAGAACCUCACCUGGCCUUGACAUACUAGAAACUUUCCAGAGAUGGAUUGGUGCCUUCGGGAAUCUAGAUACAGGUGCUGCAUGGCUGUCGUCAGCUCGUGUCGUGAGAUGUUGGGUUAAGUCCCGCAACGAGCGCAACCCUUUUCCUUACUUGCCAGCAUUUCGGAUGGGAACUUUAAGGAUACUGCCAGUGACAAACUGGAGGAAGGCGGGGAUGACGUCAAGUCAUCAUGGCCCUUACGGCCAGGGCUACACACGUGCUACAAUGGUCGGUACAAAGGGUUGCUACACAGCGAUGUGAUGCUAAUCUCAAAAAGCCGAUCGUAGUCCGGAUUGGAGUCUGCAACUCGACUCCAUGAAGUCGGAAUCGCUUGUAAUCGCGGAUCAGAAUGCCGCGGUGAAUACGUUCCCGGGCCUUGUACACACCGCCCGUCACACCAUGGGAGUUUGUUGCACCAGAAGUAGGUAGUCUAACCGCAAGGAGGACGCUACCACGGUUGCCCGAUUUGC